GGCUCGGUGGCGCAUGGUCGCGUAUCUACUGCUGUUGCAAGGUCAACUCAGAAUCUACUCCCGUUCGACUCGGGACUGAGCCU